CCAACGGUUCUGCUACUUCACAUAUAAGAACCACCCAAUAUACACAAUCAAUUAGCAG
rfam:Gossypium arboreum cultivar AKA8401 contig_42562_1, whole genome shotgun sequence.